UAAUACGUAGGGUGCGAGCGUUAAUCGGAAUUACUGGGCGUAAAGCGUGCGCAGGCGGUUGUGCAAGACAGAGGUGAAAUCCCCGGGCUUAACCUGGGAAUGGCCUUUGUGACUGCACGGCUAGAGUGUGUCAGAGGGGGGUAGAAUUCCACGUGUAGCAGUGAAAUGCGUAGAGAUGUGGAGGAAUACCGAUGGCGAAGGCAGCCCCCUGGGAUAACACUGACGCUCAGGCACGAAAGCGUGGGGAGCAAACAGGAUUAGAUACCCUGGUAGUCCACGCCCUAAACGAUGUCAACUAGUUGUCGGGUCUUAAUUGACUUGGUAACGCAGCUAACGCGUGAAGUUGACCGCCUGGGGAGUACGGUCGCAAGAUUA
rnacentral:rRNA from 1 species